AUAUACACGCUGUGUGUGGUAGAACGUGUCUUUAGUCUCAGCAUUCGGGAGACAAAGGCAGGCAAUGUGCCUGAGUUCAAGGCCAAUCCAGUCUGUAUAAUGAAUCCCAGGCUGGCCAGAGCUACACAGUGAGCCUUUGUCUCAAAAUAAUUAAUUAAAAAAUAAGUUUAAUUUGAUUUAAUAAAAAUAAUAAAAAUAAUUAUUUUUGUUGUACCAAAUUUGACUCCACUCUAGAUACUUGAAUUUCUCUAUGAAUAAGGAGGGGCGUGGUGGCGCACGCCUUUAAUCCCAGCACUUGGGAGGCAGAGGCAGGCCGAUUUCUGAGUUCGAGGCCAGCCUGGUCUACAGAGUGAGUUCCAGGACAGCCAGGGCUACACAGAGAAACCCUGUCUUGAAAAACAAAAACAAAAAACCAAAGGAGGUUCCCCCCACCCCAUCACUGCAGUAUCUAUUAAAUUUAGGGCAUUUAACAUCAAUUAAUACUAUCAUUGGCAUCUACUUUUUUUUUUUUUUUUUUAAGAUUUAUUUAUUUAUUUAUUAUAUGUAAGUACACUGCAGCUGUCCUCAGACACUCCAGAAGAGGGAGUCAGAUCUCGUUAUGGAUGGUUGUGAGCCACCAUGUGGUUGCUGGGAUUUGAACUCCUGACCUUCGGAAGAGCAGUCGGGUGCUCUUACCCACUGAGCCAUCUCACCAGCCCGGCAUCUACUUUUACAAGUCAUUUUUCUAAUGUCUUUUACAGUUUUCCCCAAGUAGUAGACCAGGUGACUAUAUUUACUUUCAGUGUUUUCUUGUUUUAUUUGUUUGUUCGAGACAGAGUCUCCCUAUAUACCUCUGGAAUUCAAUAUGUAGAUGCGGGGGGUGGGGGGUGGAAGGGUGGGGGGUGGGGGUGGGGGUGGAAGGGCAGGGUAGGGUGGGAGGCUCAGACUUCCAGAGAUGUCUACCUCUGUCUGCUCAGUGCUCGGACUAAAUGUGUAGCUACUGUUUCUGACUGAUUCGAGACAGAAUCUUCUGUAAUCAAGGCUGGCCUUGAACUCACUAAGCUGGUGUAUUUGUUUUGAGACAGCUGCCUUAGUUAUAAAUGGCUGCUGUGAUACAACACCCUACGGAAGCAACCCAGAGAGGGAUGGCCGCAGGAGCAAGGAACGGCUGGUCAGCUGACUUCCACAGUCUCGGAGGAAGGGAGCAUCCUGGAUAACCUGCUGUCUACUCCCUGCUCUCCGCCUACUAAGUUAAGUCCCCACCCCACUGAGGGAGCCAUGCCACCCAUGGUGGCAUCCGGUCUUCCUAAUCAAGAUAACCUCCAUGUCCCAAGGCCUCUCUUCCAGGAGAUUCCAGAUUUUGCCAACUUGACAAUAUGUAUCCCAGGCUGGUCUUGAACUUGAGGUCUCUCUGCCCCAGCCUCCCGAUCGAUCAUUAAGAUUGCUGGUAUGGGCUACUACAGCCAGUUUUACAGAGCGCCAGGGGUUGGGUCUAGAGUCUUUUACGUGUUAGGCACACACUACCAAUUCUUUUCAUUUUUAAACAGUUGAUGAGUGGGUUACAGUAUGGCUCAGGGGCAGAAGCUUGGCUAGCAUGCUGUAGGCCCCAGGUUUGGCUUUUAGCAGGGUGUGUAUGUGUGUGUGUGUGUGUGUGUGUGUGUGUUUGUGUAGGUCAGUAGAAAUAGGUGGUCAAUUUUAAGGUGGCAGGCACUUGCCAUUUAUGCUAAAGGUUGCUUUCCUUGUGGCUAGGACAUGCAGGUGCCCUCAGCAAGUUUCUGUUUCAGGUCUACUGUGCUUAGAGCCCAUGUGCUCUUGGGAGCACUGAGAGACGCUGGGUUUGACAGCAGGACACACUUGUACAUAAGACAAAUAUACAGCUCAGGGUGUUUAAGGUUGCCUUAAUAGAGACCCAUCUUCCCAGUGACUUGAGACACUGACACAGGAGGAUAUUGAGGUACAAGCCAGUUUGGGCUACAUACUGAGUUCCAGGCUAGCCUGAGCUAAAGAAUGAGACUCUGUCUCAAAAAAAAAAAAAAAAAAAAAAAGGAGGAAAAAGGACAACCACAACAAAUAGAAAGCAACAGUGAACAAUAUCAUUGGAACACAAUAGUGCUUCAUUUGAAGCAAGUUUUUAUUUAUUUGCUUUUAAAGUAUAUUUUCAGUGCAGUGCUCAAGGAGGCCAGAAGAGAGAAGAGUGUGGCACCCAUUGGGGCUGGAGUUACAGAUGUUCGUGAGCCAGCUUGUUGUCGGGAAUCCAAUCCAAUCCUCUGGAAAGACAGCCAAUGUUCUUAACCACUGAGCCAUCUCUCCAGUCUCAACACUUAAAAACAAAAACAAAACCACAACUUUGCGAUAGAUAGAACUUUAGCUGAAUUCAUUCAGAAACAAGACAAGUUAACAAUGCAAGGAAUGAAAAACGUGAUGUCACCAAAGUCACCGAGUACAGAAGCCGAGGGGACUGUGUGCCUGCCUGGCUGCACUCUUUCCUUUGUCACUUCCUCUAGAAGAGGGACAGAGGCAGUAAUGGCUCUAGCCCAUGUUUUGAUGUUUCUAGGUGUGACUUUUGUGUACCCUAUCUUGGCAUUUUUACCCACAUCAUAUGGUAAUGUGGGUGAUUAGUUAGAACUGUAAGCAUCCUCGGGCAAUGAGAUAGCUUACUGGGUAAACACCACUGAAGACCUACAUUGGAUCCUGGGACUGCCAUGUUAGAGAUGGAGAGCCAUUGUUGGCUUCUUACCUCCAUGCCCGUAGGCAUAUGGGCACAUACAAUAGAUACAUACAUGAGUGUCACAAAGUAAGCCUGGAUGGGUGGGGAUGGCGCAUGCCUUUAGUCCCAGCACUCAAAAGGCAGAGGCAGGUGGAUCUUUCUGAGUCUGAGGCCAGCCUGGUCUACAGAGCAAGUUCUAGGAGAGCCAAGGCUGCUCAAAGAAAUUCUAUCUCAAGGUUAAAAAAAAAAAAAAAAGGAAGCCUUUUACAAAACAAUGCUGUUGAUCGUCUGUGUCUCAAUUUCUCGUCCAGUUGCUGAGACAAACCUCCCAAUAAAAAAGCAAGUUAAAGGACAAAGGGUUGAUUGGACACACGUUUCCCGAUUACAGUCGGCCAUGGCAGUCCAGACAGCAAGAAUUUGAGUUGUUAGGCAGCAGAGGAAGGAACCCAUGCCGCCCAGAGCGGUAGUCCAGUCCCACAGCCCAGGGCUCACUCACAGUGAAGGUAGUAAUCCCUACAGGCAUGCCCAAAGCCCCUCUCCUAGGGACUCUAGGUUCUGUGACAAGCAAGAUUCUAGAUCUCGACAGCAAGAUGACAGUUAAGACAAUUCGUCACAAUUACAAAUGCAGAUUUAUUGUUCAGAGAUGCGUCUCUAAGGUCUUUGGAACAACAAAAAUGUGAAGCCAAUCUGAAUAUCUAAUCCUGAAAAAUGAGAAAUUUCAAGAAUUUAUUAUCUGAGGGUGUAGGAGCUAUUAUUUAUACCGAAACCGGGAACUCUGGCUCUCUCCCUCUCCUCAGACUCCAGGGCAGCACGGGGCACUUUGAAGUUGCCUCCCGUCUCCUGACCAGCUUUGCUCAGUAACCUAAAAUAUUGUUUUGUUUUGUUUUUUUUUUUUCUUUUUCUCAUUUCAUAGAGGCUUAGGCUCAGUGAGGUGUACUCAGAGAAAAGUGUACAAAAAAAGAAGAAGAAGAAGAAGAAGAAGAAGGAGGAGGAGGAGGAGGAGGAGGAGGAGGAGGAGGAGGAGGAGGAAGGAAGAAGGAAGAAGAAGAAGAAGAAGAAGAAGAAGAAGAAGAAGAAGAAGAAGAAGAAGAAGAAGAAGAAGAAGAAGAAGAAGAAGAGAAAAAGAAAAAAAGAAAAAAAAAGAUAGUUGUAGUUGGUACAAUCAUCAAGGCACACACACAAAACCCACUGUAGAGUCGGUUGGUCUCUAGCUCUAUGUAGUUGGGGAUGACCACAAACUUCUGAUCUUCUUGAUUCCACCCCCUCCCAACGUUGGAAGUAGGAGCCUGCUUUACCAGGCCUGAGUUAUUCAGGCGGAACCCAUGGCGUCAUGCAUUCGAGGUACUUUCUGGAUGCUCCUGGUGCACAAUGAUAUACUACAUCUGCGAUGGAGUAUGAUUCAGAGACUCACGAGACACUUCAGCACACAAGCUCACCAACUCGGUGAUUCUGGCUCCCUUAACUCUUGGGUAUCAACACAACAAAACAGAGAUUAAAAACAAAGUUAACCCCCCCACACACACAUAGAAAUGAACAUAAAAUCUACACAAAAAAUUAAGAGAAAAAAAUGAAUUGCCAAAAAGUAUAGAAUAGAAAGCAGGUUAGAAGUUCAGUGUGGAACCAGAUUUCAUCACCUGGAAACGGUGAAAGCUAAUUGUUUCACUACCAAGUGUUACCUUCUACAAUGGAUUACUAUGCAGCUGUAAAUAAGAACAGAGGCCAUGUGUACGACCCAUGUACUGCAGUUCCUGUGGAGGCCAGAAGAGGACCUCAGAGGCAGGCAGAUCUCCAGGAUCCAGGCCAGCCAGAGCUGCUAUAAGGUGAGGCUUCAGUCCGCAGAGUGGAAAGGCAUGGUAGGAGCACGAGGCAGCUGGUCAUGUGGUACUCACAGUGAGGAAGCAUUGGGAGAUGAAGGCUGGUGCUCAGCCUCUCCUUUUUACUCAGCUCAGGACCCCCAUCCCUCGAAUGGCGCCACCCACAUUUCCCUGUUCAGUGAAAAGCAUUCUGAGACACCUUCACGGACAUACUCGGGGAUGUGUCUCCUAGGUGGCUGCAAAUCUAAUCAAGUCGACAGUGAGGAAGAAGCACUACCCACCACCGUGAAUACCUGUCAGCCAGUGGGUCACAGGUGUGAGUCACUGAGCAGGAAAAGGAUGCUUGUGAAGCCGUGCAAAGAUGGGGCUGGAACGGUGGAUUGCUGGUUAAGAGCACUGGUGUUCUUGCAGAGGCCCUGAGCAUUUCCAGUGUCUACAUCACGUGACUCCCAGCUGCCUGGACCUCCAGAUCUAGAGGACCAGAACAAGAGGACCAGAACAAGACUGGCUCUAAUAUUGAAUUGAAUUUAGAAGAUUACCCCUCAUAUUGUAAAACCAAGUAGUCAGACACAAGUAACAAAAGAUACCUGUGGUUUUAUGUUCAUUUUGAGACGGGUUCCCAAGUAGUCCAGACUGGCCUUGAACUCACUGUGUGGCUGAGAAUGGCUUUGAAUUUCUUGUUUUCCUGCCUCUUUCUCCCAAGUGCUGCGAUCACAGACAUGUAGCGGCACACCCCGUUUAUGGAGAGCUGGAGAUUAGAUCCAGGGCCUUGUGUAUGCUAGGUAAGCACUCUACCAAGUGAGUCACGUCCCCAGCCCAAGACAUCUGGUUUGAACCAGAUCUUUUCAUUAGGUUAAGCAGGAAGGCAGCUUGCAACACAUGCAUGGGAAGUGUGCCAUCUUGGUUUAAUGAGUGGGUUUCUGCGGAUUGUUGAAACACUUCAACUUCCUUAACCCAGUAUCUGAUGAAGGAGCAAGGAUAGAGAAAUUAAUUUACCACACACUAAUUAAAGGGGGGUGCGCACUGUAUACACAGUGAAAGUCUCUGGAAUAAAUAUUUGAUAAACAGUAUCUGGCAAAUUAAAAACCCGAAAUGUUAAAUUAAAUGCAAAUUAAAAAUCUGGAAUGUUAAAUUAAUUAAAUACAGAAAAUUGCAUCAAACAGCAUUACAAGUCUUAGUUAAAUCAGGGAGCCUCGCUCCCAGCCUCACGU
rnacentral:lncRNA from 1 species